rnacentral:lncRNA from 1 species
GAAGUCCAGGAAGUCAAAGGAAGUGUUUACUGUUUGAAUGGAAAAACAGGGAGGUAUCUUCAACCACAGUCCAAAGGAGAAGCAAUUAUAGAAGUUCUGUGCUCAUGAAAUAAAAACAUUCCACAACUAUGUCGUUUCUCUUCCACACUGAGAAAUUAUGUUUAAAAACUGCUGUAAAUGUUGGUAAUGCUGCUUUGAUGAACCCGAAUUCCUCACAGUGAGGCUAAUGAGGGCGAGUCUGAACCACCCCUCACCCCUUUGUUGGACAAAGAUAUUCCUGAAAAGGUUACACUGUAAAAGUGAGAGCUUGAAGGGGCUUUGAAGAUUCUUCAUUAUACCAUAAGAAGCCUAAUUGAAAUGACUCGAAGACUCACGUAGUUACUUAAUGGAAGAAUCUAAGACAUUCAGAACUGUGCAUUUCCUGAAGUCUCCCAUCAUUAAAAAGAAAAGGAAUUUGCUGGAGUUCCAUCAGACCAGCUGCUCAUGUGGAAUAAACGGAAGAGGCUCAGAAGCACAUGUUGAAUUCCUGCUGAAGCUGGUUAGAGUUGACACAGUGAAGGUGUUUCCAGGGCCUAAUGAAAUUGUACAUGAACCUGAGAAAACAACCAGCUGAAACAUUUCCAAGGAAGACAGGUCGCUAUAUCAAUCAGAGUCCAAACUGAAAAGCAGAGACCACUCUGGGUGUUUCAAAUAGAACAGAUUUUGUACAGGAAGUUGGUUUCACAUGUAUUGGAAGGGCGGAAGAAUGAAGAGAAAGUGUUGGAAGAACAACAAGGAAUAAGAGGUGAUGGUCACAGAUUGGAAGUUGGAAAUAUCCCUGGGGUGAUCUAAGCCCAUGAUCUGGAGACAACACCUGCUGUUUCACCGUUGCUUCUGGAUGUUCCGGAGAGGUCUUCUCUACCAGGCUGCCUCCAUUAGAGAAGCGGUCACUUCCUGUGCUGCCCAAGUAGCUUCCGUCUUCCCGAUGCUUCAGCAACUGCCUAAAACUGCCAGUAGCUGCCACUAAAACAAAAGGCUUCUCUCUCCGCUUCAGAUUAGUGCUUGUUUCUGACAGACCUAAUGAGAGAGCUGGUGAGCUGGUGAGAGAGCUGGUGAGAGAGGGCUCAGCUGGUUGGGUGUCCAGCUUUUGAUUUUGGCUCAGGUCAUGAUCCCAGGGUUGUGGGACUGAGCCCCACCUCGGGCUCUGCACUGGGCGUGGAGUCUGCUUGGGAUCCUCUCUCUCUGCCCCACCACCCAUCCCCACUCUCACUCUCUGUAAAACAAAUAAACAUACAAUCAACAAAAAUGCUGACA